rnacentral:pre_miRNA from 1 species
GUCGUACUCCCUCCGUUCGGAAUUACUUGUCUCGGAAAUGGAUGCAUCUAAAACUAAAAUACAUCUAGAUACAUCUAUUUCUACGACAAGUAAUUCCGAACGGAGGGAGUACUAC